UACGUAGGGGAGCGAGCGUUAUCCGGAUUUAUUGGGUGUAAAGGGUGUGUAGGCGGUUUAUUAAGUAUAAGAUUAAAGCCUGGGGCUUAACUCCAGUUCGUUUUAUAAACUGAUAGACUUGAGUAUGGUAGAGGUAAAUGGAAUUUCUAGUGUAGCGGUAAAAUGUGUAGAUAUUAGAAGGAACAUCAGUGCGAAGGCGAUUUACUGGGCCAUUACUGACGCUGAGACACGAAAGCGUGGGGAGCAAAUAGG
rnacentral:rRNA from 1 species